UACAGAGGUCUCAAGCGUUGUUCGGAUUCAUUGGGCGUAAAGGGUGCGUAGGCGGCGCGGUAAGUCGGGUGUGAAAUCUCGGAGCUUAACUCCGAAACUGCAUUUGAUACUGCGGUGCUUGAGGACUGGAGAGGAGACUGGAAUUCAUGGUGUAGCAGUGAAAUGCGUAGAGAUCAUGAGGAAGACCAGUGGCGAAGGCGGGUCUCUGGACAGUUCCUGACACUGAGACACGAAGGCCAGGGGAGCAAACGGG
rnacentral:rRNA from 1 species